ACUCAAAUGAAUUGACGGGGGCCCGCACAAGCAGCGGAGCAUGUUGUUUAAUUCGAAGCAACGCGAAGAACCUUACCAGGGCUUGACAUCCACUGAAUCCUUCAGAGAUGAGGGAGUGCCGCAAGGAACAGUGAGACAGGUGGUGCAUGGUUGUCGUCAGCUCGUGUCGUGAGAUGUUGGGUUAAGUCCCGCAACGAGCGCAACCCUUACUGUCAGUUACCAGCGCGUUAAGGCGGGGACUCUGACGGGACAGCCGGGGUAACUCGGAGGAAGGUGGGGACGACGUCAAAUCAUCAUGCUCCUUAUGUCCUGGGCUACAAACGUGCUACAAUGGCUACAACAAAGGGAAGCAAGGGCGCAAGCCGGAGCGAAACCGAAAAAAGUAGUCUCAGUUCGGAUUGAGGGCUGCAACCCGCCCUCAUGAAGAUGGAGUUGCUAGUAAUCGCGAAUCAGCACGUCGCGGUGAAUACGUUCCCGGGCCUUGUACACACCGCCCGU
rnacentral:rRNA from 1 species